GAGUUUGAUCUUGGCUCAGAACGAACGCUGGCGGCGUGGAUAAGACAUGCAAGUCGAACGGAUUUGUCUCUGUAGCAAUACGGAGGCAGGUCAGUGGCGCAAGGGUGCGUAACACGUGGGCAACCUGCCCUGGAGUUUGGGAUAGCCCGCCGAAAGGCGGAUUAAUACCGGAUGUGGCUACCGACUGAUUAGUCGGGACGCUAAAGGUGGCGCAAGCUGCCGCUCCUGGAUGGGCCCGCGGCCUAUCAGCUUGUUGGUGAGGUAACGGCUCACCAAGGCUAUGACGGGUAGCUGGUCUGAGAGGACGACCAGCCACACUGGAACUGAGACACGGUCCAGACACCUACGGGUGGCAGCAGUCGAGAAUUUUUCUCAAUGGGGGAAACCCUGAAGGAGCGACGCCGCGUGGAGGAUGAAGGUCUUCGGAUUGUAAACUCCUGUCAUUGGUGAACAAGGCACUCCCGUUAACUGCGGGGGUGUUUGAUAGUAGCCGAAGAGGAAGGGACGGCUAACUCUGUGCCA
rnacentral:rRNA from 1 species